ensembl:lncRNA
AAAAAAAAAAAAAAAAAAUAGAAGUUUCAUAUGUGAUUUGAAAGAACAGCAUGCUGGCUCCUAAACCAGGUGUGAGAGGGCCUCAGGUCCAUGAAGUUCAAAGGCAUAUCCCUGUUCUUCAUCAUCUAUACCCAGAUAACAGAUGAAUACAUGCCAACCGUCUGUGUUCCCAGUCCCUCCCCAAACAAGACACUGAUUUGUAGAGUACUCGGCAGGUUAAAUCAAGCUGGAAGAGGUGACUGGAUAAAAAAGGGAAUGACAUUUAGGGUAUAAAGAUCUCAUAAGAAAUGUAAUAUGUAAAUUAUAUCUUGCUUUAUGAUGUAAAAUAUACAUUGUUUGCGCUAGAAUAGAAGUGAUUCCUUUUCAAUAAAAAGAAAGAAGGAUACGACUAUGUCUGCUGAGUCUGAUGGUUCUUUUCCCUUUGAAAUUUAAAAACAGAUCUGCUAAGAUCUAAGACUGCAUUCAGAAAAAAAGUGAAGGGGGCAUCCUCUCCAAAACUUGGAUUGAGUACUGGGAACCUGUUGUUACCAGAAGAAAGAGAGAAUGAAAUGAAAUGUAGGCAGAUAAAAAUAACAUAGGUUCUCCAGAUCGAGGAAGGAGAAAAGAACACUUUUGACUGUCAAUUGUUUUCCAUCUCAAUUGAUAUUGACUUGCUUCUUGCUGACGUUGACAAAUGCUUGCUGCAAAUACGUCAAUUAAAACUGUACCAAUUCCUUUCUUCAUUCUUGUUGAAGAGACAACUAGCAUUUCAACCAAGUCCGUUUACUCUUCUUUCUGGGCACACGGAUAGGUUUCAUUCCCUAGCAAACUUUGCAGGUAGGUGUGGUCUUGUGACACCUCCCAGACAAUGGAAUGUGAGCAGCAGUGGUAUUUGACAGUUUUGAUCCUGGCUCAUAAUUCCGAACUGCGUUUUCCCUUGCUCUUUCUUCCCUGUGGCUGAGUGCUAAGACAGCAUCCAAUCAACUUUGGGAGCCACAUUUUAAGGAUGGUAAAGCAACAGUCAACCUGGGACUGGAAAUGUGACUUCAGGAAGAAAAGUUGCAACUCUUGCACCCUGGGAACAGUCUGGAGUAUUAUAUGGUGGAGAAAAUAAAGUUCUAUUCUGUCAAUCCAUGUCAUGACAAAGUCUAUUUGUUAACUGCAACUCAGCCCAACCUAAAACCUCCUUUUCCUUUCUUUUCCCUUCUUCCUUCACUAUCAUGUGCAUUUCAAGAUCCUUGUAACUCACAGACAUAUGAGUUACACAUAAGCAUAUGGAAGAAUGUGUUUGAAUAUUAUAGUAUAUGGUUUUGUAGCAUCUUGUGCCCUUUGUAUAAUACAUAAUUAACUGAAUGUUGUAGUAAAUAAGUACACUAAAUAACACUUUCAAUAAAUUAGUGCCUGACACUGUAGAGUUCCUGGAAAAUAUGUCAACAUGUUAUUCUACUUUUUUAAAAGGCAGCAUUCCUGAAAGUAAGAAUGCCAGGUCAUCUACAAACUGAAGACAUCUGAAAACUAUUUAUUAAAGUCACAUAUUUAUCUGCUUAGUGACACUCAGUUACUCAGAGGUAAAAUAAGGCUAGAAAUCCUGGACAGCUAGAGAAACUCACAUAUGUGCACAGGAAGGCAUGAAUAGAAAUGUUCAUCAUAGCACAGCUUGCAAUAAUAAAAUAUUGGAAACAAACAAGAUGUCUGUCAAAGACAGAAUAAACAAACUGUGAUAUAUUCAUACAAUGGUAUACUAUUCAGAAAUAAAAAAUGAAUAAAUGAGAAAUGGCUACAUACCUCUAGUUGGAG